AUUAGGACUACAUUCAUAUGUCGUCUGAGUAAACGGGAAACUGACAGCUAAUUUGCUAAUCUAAAGUAUUCGAUCCCUCCCUUGGCUAAAAAAGAAAAACUCGGGCUCCUUUUGCUAGGACCUUUCCCUUAGCUGAAAGAAAAAAAGAACCAACCCUAGAUCUAAAAACUCGGGCUCGUUUUGCCGCCCCUGACUCUCAGCCAAUCUCUCCCUCGCACGCUCGAUCUCACUCUCAUGAACCUCAGUCCCUCAAUCCACCCUCAAUCCCUUUCACCCUCUCAAGCUCACACACACUCUCAUCCUCCUGCGAUUCCGGCAAAGCAAGUUUGGGUAUGGAAGUUUUGGGUAUAGAAGUUUGGGUAAACAAAGCAUAGACGUCCUCAAGUUUGGUUCGAUUUCUGGUUCGAUUUCGAAUUCUUCAAGCUUGAGACCUGAUAAACAAGAACCCAUCUCUAACACAAGACACAGUUCCACAAGUAAUAGAGUAGACAAAAGGCCAAAUCCAUACAUUCCAGAUCAAAAUCAAUGAAGCAAAUGGCUCCAUAGUCAAAGGCAUCUAUCUAGACGUGGAAACCUUUACGCCACAAACAGGAAAUGAAACAACAACUUUCACACUAGCCCAUCCUCUUCCUGACAAAAAAGAGUCCCUGAUAAACAAAACAGUUCGCAGAAACUGCCUUACAGCACAGCUCUCUUCUUUCGAUAUUGCAUUGCUAUUGUUGUUGCUGUAGUGAAAGGUUGGAGUACUGGGAAUGGUGAUUAGCUAGGCUGUGACUUAAGCAAAUUAAGAUGGAAAAAGGAUGGAUGCAUGCUGAUAG